rnacentral:lncRNA from 12 species
UUUUUUUCCACCAGAAUUAUUAUUUUUUGACAAAUAUAUGGAGUUCAUUCCUACAAACAUCUAUGUACAGCAUGCAGUUAAACCCAGAGGCCAUUAUUUCUUUUGGCAUUAAAAUAUAUGCUUCAUAGUGGUGAAGUAGGAUUGAAGAGAAGAGAAGAGUUUUUCAGGGAGCAAGUCAGAUGCAGAAAUUCACUGAUAAAAAUUUUAGUGGUUCUUGACAAAUUCAGGAGCAUAAGGUCAGCUGCAUCUUGUCCAUGUGUGUGUAACUCACUGGUGAACAUGUAUUACAGGUCUCCAUCUGUGCCUACUCUCCACAGGACAUGGUUGUACUAAUCCAUACCAGAGAGCCUGAUUACAAGCUUCAGCAGGUUUUGCUCUGAGUGCUGGAGCUCUUCUUCCAGUCCCCUGUAUGACAGCCAGGGUAGCAGCUGUCACCAUCGGCUCAGAGUACAGCAGAUCUCCUCACUUCUGAUGAAGGCCCAGAGACACUGGUUUACGAGGUGUCCUGUGUCCCUCCUGCAUAAAUCUUCACAGGAUAAUUUGAAGAAAAUCCACCAGCAUAUUCUACAUCCACUCCUUUUGGGGCCACUCAAAGGUACACCAUUCUCUCUCAGUGUCGCCCUUGGACCAUCACCCUCACAGUGUGUGUCUGCUUACAGUGAUGGCAAUCCACAAAGAGACGGGAUGCCCACUUGCCCAAGGAAGAGACGGAACCCCCGUUUGAAGCAAGCAUGAAGCUGAUUUAUUGUUUUCACACAUCAAUGUAUAUACCUUUCCAACUAUAGCUAAAAAUAGCACAAUCACACAAUUGUGACAUUACUUAAUCACAGCUCUGCACAGAGCCUUUGCACAGACCUGUACAGACCAGCAUAGGCACGUACAGUCUUGCAUGAUUUAUCUUAAAGCACACCAAGCACACCUUUUGCUUCUCCAUUCAGAGUCCUGCCUUGGCUUGCCAGGGCUUGUGACCUACCAAACUUAGUAC